CCCACCCCCACCCCCCUCGUGCCCGCUCCGCUACGUAUUCCCGUAUUCCCGGGUGCCUGGCAACAGUGAUGUGCUUUAGGCCUUUUUUAGAAUGCAUACAAACGGAACCAUAUCUAAGUGAUGUCUGGCUUUUUUAACUUAGCACAAUGCUUUGAGAUUCAUACUAUUGUGUUUAAUUAGUAAUUCAUUUGUGUUAUUGUUGAAUGGUAGUCUAUCAUAUGGGUAAGCCACAGUUUAUUUAUCCAUUCACCAAUUGAUGGGCCUGUCGGUUGUAGGGAACAGGAGAAAACUUCCCCUUUGCCCUCUGAAGGGUCACCGAAAAUCAACUGACAAGGCUGGGCCUGGGCUCCUGCCUGUAACCCCAGCCCUUUUUUAGCCCAAGGCAGGAGGAUCUCUUCUUUGUGAAGUGUGUAUUCAAAUCUUUUGACCAUUUAUUUAUUAGCUAGCUUGACUUUUUAUCUAAGAGUUCUUUAUAUAUUAUUGAGUUCUUUAUAUGUUUCAUACCAUGUUCUUUAUUAGCUAUACGUUUUGAAAUGUUUUCUACCUGUCUGUGGCUUGCCUCUUCAUUUUAAGUGUCUUUUGAAGCACUGAAGUUUUCAAUUUUGAUGUAAUUUAUCCAUUUUUUUCUUUUACAUAGUUCAUACCUUUUUUGUCCUACUUAAGACAUUUUUGCUAAAUUCAAGAUUAUAAGAUUUCCUCAUUUGUUACCUUCUGGAAGUUUUAUAAUUGUUGGUCUUCAUUAUAUUUAAAAUGAAUUAUUCUUUAUAGUAUCGAUAGAUGCUGGAGGCAGAUAAGGGAGGGUCCCUGGAGAAUCUCUGACCUGCCUCACAAGCUUUUGUGCAGCUGAGGAAGCCUGCCCAGGGUCUUGUCUGGGCAUGCCCACAAGGGACUUGGGGGCCCACUGCACCAGGAGAGUGGGGUGCAGCCAGAGGGAAUUCAGCCUUAUGCAGCAGGGAUGAGCAAGAAGUCUUCAGCUUGUGUGUGUUGGCCUGUUAUUCAGUCUGUGAGCUGGGAGCCUGUUGGCAGGACCCUCCUUGUUUUUUUGCUAAGAGCUUUUAAUAAAUGCCACUCUUCACCUUGCAAUGUAUUCACAUGCCUAAUUGUUCCUGGUCAUGAGACAAGAACCUGGAUUUUAGCUGAGCUAAGGAGCAAAAAUUCCUGCAUCAGUAUGAGGUGUAAGGAAGAACAGAAGGAUCCAAGUGUGAGAAAGCCCACCCUGAGUCUCUCAGAGAUUCAUUUCACUACCAGGUCAAAGACACAAUCAAAAGCCCGACAAAUGGAAUUUGUGGAAUUGGAACAAAAAGGCACAAGAACAUCAAAGCAUAAAUCCUUCAGGUAUCAGCAAUGACAUCACUUAAGAAUUUCUCAGAAUCUUUGGCACCACCCCAGGCCUACCGGAUCAGAAUCUGAAUUUUUUAACAAGAUCUCAGAUCUAGUCAAGAGUCCAGUCUGAUUUCUCUUUAUUGGGACUACCACCCAAAGCAGAAUGAGGAUGAUGUAACCACGCCCAGUGACUUCUGGAUACCACUGACUCUAGAUGAGCAAGGAGAGACUCAGAGGAAGUCAGCGUUACUCGAUUAGAAAGUGACUGUGGCACUACCAUAGUAGUAAAAUCUACCAUGGCAGAGAAAAUGCCAUAUGUUCACCUUGCCAGUCGUUUUUCUUUUUCCUCCUGGGUUUAUAGGAAGAUGGCAGCCCCUGGCUCCCCUGCAAUCAGGCAGGGCCAUGUGACUGAGUCUUAGCUCACCAAUGUGGGAGAAAGUGAUGUGUGACACAUUAAGGCCAGGCCACUGAAACCUCUCAUGGGAACUUCCAUACUCACUUCCCUCAUCUGCUAGCCAACCCAAAAGAUUGAGUGGAGGAUUUUACAGCCCCAGGGCCUAGAGAUGCUGGAAAGAAGCCUGAUUCAGCCCUGAAUGAACCUGUGCAAAGGUGCCUCUGACCUCCAACCCUUGUUGGACUAGGAUGUUGGAAAAUACUGUGUUAAGCUACUGGGAUUUCAAAGUUGUUUGUCAUAGCAGCUAGCCAUAUUUACUCUACCUGAUAGAUCUAUGUUCUGUAAUUACAGUGUUUGCCUUUCAUGUCCUAAGGGUAAAUAAGUGAUAUAUGCAACAAUAAACUGUGAUGUACUAUAUAUUGUUUUUAUUACAUUAAAAUUCUUAAAAUUUGCUUUUUCA
rnacentral:lncRNA from 1 species